rnacentral:rRNA from 1 species
UUAAAAUUUUAAGUUAUUUUUUUUAUUUUUGUUUAUAUUAUUAUUGAAAGUUAUUUUAAUUGUUAAUGAUUUAUUUAAGUAAAUUAUUUUUUUAUAGUUAAUUUUACUGUAAGGGAUUUUUUUUUUUUUAAGAAGAAUAAUUUAAUUUAGUACCUUUUGUAUCAGGGUUAAUUAAAUUUAAAAAAUGAUUAUUUUUUUUCCCGAAAAUUUAAGAUUUAUUUAAUUUUUUAAGUUUUUGUUUUAUAAAAAUUUAAAAAUUUUAGUUGGAUUUGAUAUGAAAUUCGUUUAAUUCAAUAUCUGGUUAAUUGAGAAAUUAAUUUAAUUAAGGAUAUUUUUAGUUUAAUUUAUUUUAUUUCUGAAAUUUCUAGUUUUUAAGGGGAUAAGCUCUUAUUUAAUAUAUAAUUUAAAUUUAUUUAAUUUUUUUUUGUAGGUUUAAAAUCUUUCAACAAUUUAAGUUCGUUAUAGAUUGAAAAUAUUAAUUUUAUUAUAUUUAUUUUUUAAUCAGUUUUUUUAUUUAAAUAUUUAAGUUUUUAAUAAUGUUUAAAUUAGUAAAAUUUUAAAAUAAAUUUAUGAAUUGGGCAAAUUUUAUUUUCACCUGUUUAUCAAAAACAUGUCUUAAUGUUUAUAUUUUAAGUCUAACCUGCUCAGUGAAUUAAUUUUUAAAUAGCCGCGGUAUUUUAACUGUGCUAAGGUAGCAUAAUAAUUAGUCUUUUAAUUGGGGUCUUGAAUGAAUGGUUUAAUGAGAAAAAUACUUUAUUAAUUUUUUUUAUUUGAAUUUUAUUUUUUUUUUAAAAAGAAUUAAUGAUUAAGAGGGACGAUAAGACCCUAUAGAUCUUAAAAAUAAUAAAUAUAAAUUAAUUUUUUGUGGUAUUUUUUUUUAUUAUUAUUAUUUUUUUAUUGGGGUGAUAAUUAAAAUUUUAAACUUUAUUUUAUUUAAACAAUUUUUUUUGGUUAUUUUGAUUUUAAAUUUUGAAUUAAAAGAUUUAGAUACCUUAGGGAUAACAGCGUUAUUAAAUUGGAGAGUUCAAAUCGAUAAUUUAGUUUGCGACCUCGAUGUUGGAUUAAUCAAGUUUAUGGGGUAGAUUCUAUAAUUUUUGGUCUGUUCGACCUUUAAGUGAUUACAUGAUCUGAGUUCAAACCGGUGUAAGCCAGGUUGGUUUCUAUCUUCUUAUAAGGUUUUUUAAUUAGUACGAAAGGAUUUUUAAAAAAUAAUAUUUAUUUU